rnacentral:tRNA from 1 species
UCCCAUUUUGCUCAGUCGGUAGAGCAUGAGACUCUUAAUCUCAGGGUCCUGGGUUUGAGCCUCACAUUGGGCA